CCCCUGCGGAAGCUGGUGCUCCAGAGCCUGCUCCCUUUGCUGUUGCGCCUGCAAGAUCCCAGCCGGGAUGCUGCUGAGAGUUCAGAGUGGACCCUGGCCCGCUGUGACCAGGCCUUGCGUUGGGGCCUGCUGGAGGACAUGGUCACUGUGGCCCACUAUGACAGCCCUGACGCCCUAAGCCGCAUCUGCCACUGCCUGGUCAGUAGAGGGAGGACGGUGGCAGUGAUGGGGUGUGGUCAGCUGCCUACUUGGUCCAGUAUACACCAGGGCACUCCCCCCAGAACGGAGUCUUCUCACUCUCCCAGCCGAGGUUGUGGCAGAUCUAAGACCUCCAGUCCUGGUGCCUUGCAGCAGGGCGGGGGAGGGGGACCCCAGGCCCUGGGCUCAUGUCUGCCGCCCCCUCUCCAUGUGGGACAGGCCCUCCUGUACUGCCAUGAACCNNNNNNNNNNNNNNNNNNACGUCCCCAGCUUCCUGAGCCAGAGCCAGGGCUACCUGCGGAGCCCACAGUACCGCUUGCGCUGGGCAGCUGCCGUGCUCCUAGGUGAGGUGGUCCUGCUGUCUGUCCCUCGAACUCAGAGAGAGCUCUGGGAGCUGGACCAGCUCUUCCCCAAUGGGGGCCUGGGGCCAGCGCUCACAGGCAUGUCUUGGUCCAGGCUUCCUCGUCCAUCACACCAGCCCCGGCCGUGUCAACCAGGACCUGCUGGACUCCCUGUUCCAGGGAACGCGCUGCCACGACAGCCAUGUGACCUAGGACAGCGGUGCCUUCUGUCCGAGCACCAUCUUGCCCUCGGCAGCCCCCUUGCCUCUUGCACCCAUGGCCCCUCUGUCCCCACUCAGGCCUGUUGUUCUCCCAGCUCCCUGGAGUGUGCCCCGCCCCAGCCUGGAUGACACCUGGCCUCCCGAGCUGGGGUCGGGUGGGGACACCGAGAGACUGGCCCGACCCUGUGAGCUGGCCCCAUGAUAGGGUGCCUGCUUCCUGGUCUUUGCACACAACCUGGCUCAGCUUCCCCGCCCGGUCUGGGCUCUCCUCCCCAGCAGCCUGAAGUCCCCCAUCGCGUGUCCCACUCCUUGCUGGCCUGUCCCCACUCCCCCCACACCCACUCCUGUGCCUCGUGUCAGACCUCACUUGAGCCUUCUCCAGGUUUCCCCACUGGCGGCUUGGGAUGGUUCCUGUGCCCCCGGUGUGGAGUGCCACCAUCUGCGCCCACAGACUGAGCCCUCAGCCGGCUCUCCAGCACCCUGCUUGGGCUCAAACGAGGACAGCAUGACCGCACAUGCCGGGCGGGAGCCUCUGUGGGGGCUGUGGCCGAGCCUGGCUGGGCCCUGGCUGCCUCUACCCACAACGCCUGCCUUGAAAUGUUCUCUUGCCUUUCAGGGCCCAGCCCCACAGCCAUCUCCUCAGAGAGCCUUGGCUCACACAGCCUCUUGCGGGGCUGGGUCCAGCCCCCCAGUCUGGGCCCCCCCCUGUGGAAAGUGUUUAAAAUAAACACAGGGGUAUUAAAAGG
rnacentral:lncRNA from 1 species